UAUAUCCCUCAAAGUUUCUAUACUCAAAUGGACUAGAAAACAAAACAAAAGAUACUAUCUUAGUUCAUUGUCUGUAAUUGUAACCACAUGACACAGCCUGGGUAAUUUCUUAAAGAAAAUAGAUUUGUUGGGUUCUACUGUGGAGACUGGAAGUUUCAAGAACACAGCAACAGUGUCUGACUAGGGCCCUCUUGCUACAUCGUAGCAUGACCAGGGCAUCACUAGGGAGACAGAGCAGAUGUGAUAACGAGCUUUCUCUACUUGUCCUUAUAAAGCCACUGUGCCGUCCUGGGGAUUCUGUCCAUGGUCGUAUCUAAACUCAAGGUCCUGGGCAGGUAAUGAAGACAGUGAGCAAAAUCUCUGCCUCUUAGCGCACAGCAGUAGAUGUUUCAUUGCUUUGAAUGGAAGAAAUCUUGCUCCAUCAACCACAGAGAGGCUGGCCCACGACAAGCAGGAGAAGUGGAUCCCACCUCUCUCCCUGUGUCCUCCCUUGAAAAGUACCAUUGCACCUGAGGAAGAAGGGAAAGAGCCUACUGAGUGCUGCGAGGGGAGCUCAGGCUGAAGUCAGGACCUGGAAGGUGCUCGUGCCAUUCAAGACUCACUGGCCAAUCAAAGCCUCUAUUCGUG
rnacentral:lncRNA from 1 species